CACACGACUCUCGGCAACGGAUAUCUCGGCUCUCGCAUCGAUGAAGAACGUAGCAAAAUGCGAUACCUGGUGUGAAUUGCAGAAUCCCGCGAACCAUCGAGUUUUUGAACGCAAGUUGCGCCCGAGGCCUUCUGGCUGAGGGCACGCCUGCCUGGGCGUCACGCCAA
rnacentral:rRNA from 3 species